CCUACGGGUGGCUGCAGUGAGGAAUAUUGGUCAAUGGACGAGAGUCUGAACCAGCCAAGUAGCGUGAAGGAUGACUGCCCUAUGGGUUGUAAACUUCUUUUAUAUGGGACUAAAAUGUUCCACGUGUGGGAUUUUGCAUGUACUUUAUGAAUAAGGAUCGGCUAACUCCGUGCCAGCAGCCGCGGUAAUACGGAGGAGCUGAGCGUUAUCCGGAUUUAUUGGGUUUAAAGGGAGCGUAGAUGGGUUGUUAAGUCAGUUGUGAAAGUUUGCGGCUCAACCGUAAAAGUGCAAUUGAUACUGGCAGGCUGGAGUACAGUUGAGGUAGGCGGAAUGCGUGGUGUAGCGGUGAAAUGCUUAGAUAUCACGAAGAACCCCGAUUGCGAAGGCAGCUUACUAAACUGUGACUGACACUGAUGCUCGAAAGCGUGGGUAUCAAACAGGAUUAGAUACCCCAGUAGUC
rnacentral:rRNA from 1 species